GUGAUAAGCUGCGAUAAGCCCCGGGUAGGUGCAAAUAACCUUUGAUCCGGGGAUUUCCGAAUGGGACAGCCUGGCCGUCUGAAGGACGGUCAUCCUGACCCAGAGUCAGGAGGCUAACGCAGGGAACUGAAACAUCUUAGUACCUGCAGGAAGAGAAAAUAAAUAAUGAUUCCCCCAGUAGUGGCGAGCGAACGGGGAACAGCCCAAACCGUCGACGUCGCAAGGCGCCGGCGGGGUUGUAGGACCGCGACAUUGUAUUGCGAUGGCGAGUGGAAGUAUCUGGAAAGUUACAUCAUAGAAGGUGACAGUCCUGUACACGAAGCCAAAAUCAAGCAUAGCGGUAUCCUGAGUAACGCGGGACACGAGGAAUCCUGCGCGAAUCUGCCGGGACCAUCCGGUAAGGACUAAAUACUCCGUGAGACCGAUAGCGUACGA
rnacentral:rRNA from 1 species